rnacentral:lncRNA from 1 species
UAGAUGACCAUUUGGGAUUGACCACGCUGUCUGCGUCCUGUAAACCUCCUCAAAAGCGGUAUAAAAAUUCCGAAACCUUUCCUUGAGAAGAGUUCUUGAAGAAUUGGAAUUCCCCUCUUCCUUCAGUAUAGCGAGGAUAGAACUCCAGGUAUUUCUUUCAUAGUUCAUCUCAUGCUGCUGGAAUUUCCAGUUGUGCUUUCGAAUCCACCCAUCUCCAAGUAUAGACUGAAGAUUCGAAUUCACAACUUUUUGAGCCAUGUAAUGAAUGUUGUUCAUCAAGAAUAUGUGCUGCAAAGAAGCAUCUCUAUAUAGCUUGGCCUUGUCAUCAAGAUUGCAUUCUAGAAUUGAAGCAACUGAUCGGAAGUGGAGGGCCAGUGGUGAACCAUCGCACGCACCUUCUCUAGCGUUCUCUUCUUCUGUAGAUGGAUUAAUGUCAGGGGACAAUGACAUGGUAUCCUCUCCAUCAUGGUCCUUGAGGAGAAAAUUGAGAGUUUCCCGGUAGCCAGUGAGAGCAUUGAGGUAAUUCAUAACAUACUUGGUGAGGGGAUGAACUCCACCUCCUGCAAUAGGGUUUGUUGAGGUGUUUGUUGAAAUAGCAUUUUCAAAUUCGAGAAAUACUGCCCUUACAGAGUCCCCCAAUCUCCUUAGAACUUCUCGACAGUCAAUUCGAACACGAGCACCACCCUCAUUUGCAUAUAAGGAAUCUAUGUCUGGAAGAAGAUCUGCUAGGACCUCGUACAUAUCUAGUAUAGGAAACAGCUUUUCUGGUUUAUGGGGACCAAUAGAUACAGCUUCACCAAAAUUUAAAAGCCGCAGCAUUGAAGCCUUCGAAACCUCAGCAAAAGAAACCAAAUUAACUGUUCCCAGAUCCCCAAAAAUCUGUUCAGAUAGACAUUUCUCACUAGCAAGAUAGACCCGCACAAAGAUCUUCAUGGUCCGAACCCAUCUCCUGAUCUUGGAAUUUAAGCUGCCCCACUCCAAUCUCAGCACAUCUUCAAUGCUCAGUUUCUCGAUUUCAAGAAUAAGGAGAAACUCAUCCAAGGCAUCCCGUCGAAUCCACCCAUCUCCAAGUAUAGACUGAAGAUUCGAAUUCACAACUUCUUGUGCCAUGUAUUGCAUGUUGUUCAUCAAGAAUACGUGCUGCAAAGAAGCAUCUUUAAAUGACUUGGACCUGUUGAAGAGCUCGUAUUCUAAAAUGGAAGCAACCAAUCGAAAGUAGAGAGCCACUGGGGAAAUGUCGCAUGUGCCUCCAUUUAUGCUCUCUUCCUCUGUAGCCGUACUUAGCAGGAAGCAAUUGGAUAGCCAUUUUAGAAGUGAAGCAUCCAAUCCCAGUUGGAGAGAAAUUGGGGAAAAGUUGGAUGUAUCUCCACUUAUGCUCUCUUCUUGCAUAGCUGAACUCAUCGGGGAGCCACUGUAAAGCCAUUUUAGAAUUGAGGCAUUUGAUCGAAAGGAGUGAGCAAUUGGGGAAAAGUCGCAUGUGCCUCCACUUAUGUUCUCUUCUUCCACAUCUGAACUCUUGCAAGGGGAUGCUAACAUGGGAUCUUCCCCAUCAUAGUCCCUGAGGAGAAAAUUAAGGGUCUCGCUGUAGUCAGCGAGAGUACUGAUGUACCUCAUUACAUAUUUCGUGAGAGGGUGAAUUCCUUCAGAUGGAAUGUUGGCAAAAGAAUCUCUCGUAAUGUAUGUAACAAUGUAAUUCGGAAAUUCAUGAAGUGUUCGCCUCACAGAGUCAGCCAAUCCCCUUAGAACCUCAUCACUGUUAACUCUAACUCGAGAAAUAUCCUUGUCGGAGUACAAAGAAUCUACAUUUGGAUGAAGACCAGCCAGGACCUCGUAUAUGUCAAGAUUAUGGAACAGCUUUUCUGGAUUUAGGGGAUGAAUAGAUAUGUCUUUCCCAAAAUACUUCAAUAGCAGCAAGAUUAAAUCCCCAGACAAAGAAACCAAAUUAACCGUUCUGAGUUCCCCAAAAAUCUGUCCCGAGAGCCAUUUCUCACUAGCAAGAUAGACACGUACAAAGAUCUUCAUAUUCCGAAUCCAUCUCUUGUUCUUCGAUUUUAUGUCCAACUCUGAUUUGAAGUUGUCCCUCUUCGAGCAUAGCACAUCUUCAAUUCUCGGUUUCUCCUUUUCAAGAUUGAAUAGACACUCAUUCCAGGCAUCUCUUCGAAGGUUAAUAUAUGCCAGAGAACAUUCAUCACCAUAACCAGAAAUGAACAUCAAAUUUGCAAUUCGUCUGAGCUCAGAAAUGACAUCAUAUUGAACCAAAUCAAUGAUGAACUCCUCUGAAUUUCUGUUAAAAAUACAUCUAUCAUCUGAGUUCUCAACCAAGUAAUCCCCAGGAGAGAUUUUUGAGACUCUAUCCGCAGCACUUAAGAAAACAGAAGCAUGGUUUGGCUCAAAGGGUUGUCUGUUUUCAACAAGCGUGUGCUUGAACACCUCCUCAAGCCUUUUCAUUGCCAGUUGAAGAACUUUUUGAGCCCUCUGUAGCAUCUUCUUUUUACUGUCAUCAUUCCGACACAACAAAGUCUCCAGUCUUUCAUUCAGCUCUCGGACUUCACCAGCAGCAUUCAGAUACGCAGUAGCUUGAUCAAGAUGCGAGUCCCAGAUCAUAGGCCAAUUCCUUUCCCAACUCAUAAUCUUCUCCUGAAUAACAUUUAGCCUUUUUUCAAUCUUGUUAUUUUCAUCAGCCUUUCCUUCGCCGAUUGUGAUUGUGGUAGUUAAUUGGGUAUGGAGGUCGCCCAAAAUCUCCAUCUCGUCUCCUGUAAGAUUCUUUCUUGAUCUUAAUGCCAUCAUAGUUUGCUUCACCGCAGCAAUAAGGUUUCCUUCCCCUUCUAAUUCUGGAAUCACCAUGUCAGGGUCCCCCAUAGAUUACAAAUCGAAGAUCACCAACAAUCACAACCUCGAUAGUCAAUAAUCAGAAUAUUGAACCACAAAUCCUGAAUUUCAACUACACCUCUAAGAUUACCUUUCACGUUGCUAAAGUAGCCUCUAAACUCUCAGCUAUAGACUUCGAUUCCCAAAAAUCACAGCACUAACUGCUAGUCUGUUGGCUGGAAAUUUAGAACAUUAAUUUUCCAAACCGGAAUAUAAACUCUUUUGCUGGAGUUCUCUAACAAGUAACCAGUGAAGGAAAUCUUGAGUGCUUGCUGCAAUCAACCACCGCGAUUCAAGAACUGAUUACAGGAAAGAAAAUGAAAAACUGCAUGAGCUUAAGACCAGAACAAUGAGAACUUUCAGUACACUAGAAAGAAUCACUGUGAUCAACCGUAUCAGUAGACAGCUCAACAGUGAUCAAAAAACAUUGAAACCCAAUUCACUUGUGUGUGUGCAUUUCCAUAAAUUUCGAAAAAAAUAUCUUUAAAUUUUAUUAAUCAUCACAUGUAUUAAAAAGAAAUUAUUAAUAAUUAUUAAAUAUAUUAUCUUCUCUUUUAAGAAAUUAUACAUGUCAAAAUUUUUUUUUUAAAAAAACCUCUAUAUAAAGAGAAUAUUUAUCUCUUUAUAUGUAUAGACAUAUUAUUUUGUUUCAUUUAUUAUUAAUUUUCUUGAGAGGAUCAUUAUUCAAUCUUUAAGAAUCAUUGAUACAUGCUCACAGUCUCAAGAUCAUGGCAUAUGAAGGCUUAAUAAACAUAAACAUAUCUGAAAUGAACAGGGCCAAGACAUGCUAAAGACAAUCAAACAAAGAAAGGAAUGGAAGGACAACGCACAUUUUAGAUUUUGCAGUCAAGAGAUGAACAAGCAAGCAUCCGAUUUAUUUUCCUCAGAAUACUAGGAGCUAAAACUGACCUUUCUUUCGUAGCUCUUUUAUCAACUUAAGAAGACAUUGGAGCCACCGUCUCUCUCGGCUCUUCUUUUUCUAACCAGUUAAAAGUGUUGACUCCAGGGUUCAGCCAUAACGGUCUUACGCAGAUAAUACAACAUUUCUUUCCGACAGGGAAACAGGAAGUUUCCUCGCCGUGCGUGGCCCUCUUACAUGCAUUUAACCCCCAAAUAGUCAAACAAAUAUAUUUCUUUUUUACUUCUUUGAUUGAUUGAGGUCUCUUGUUUGGGAAUUUCUCUGCUCUUUGAUUCGGAGGGAAAGUUUCUUGGAUUAAUAAGGCCCAAAGGACUACAGGUGCGAAGGAACAUCCAUCAAAAUACUUACGAAGAACAGAUAGAAGGCCCAAUAAUAAAAAAUCGCAAGUUUAAUCCAAACCCAAAUGCAUCCAUGUGAGAUCAUUUGGACUUUCUACCCUGUUGCUCAAAUCUAAAAACAAGUUAAUAUGAAACUUGAUUAAAAUUUUUUUUUUAUUAAAAGGGUAUUUGAAAAUAAUUUUUAAAGUAAUUUUUAUUUGUAAAUAUAUUAAAAUAAUAUUUUUUUAUUUUUUAAAAAUUAUUUCUAAUAUACAUCUAAACGACGUGAAAAUAUGAAAAAAUAAUUAUUUUUUUAAAAAAUUGAAUUUAAUCAAUUUUCAUUCGAAUGACAAUCCCAAACAGACUCAAUUAAUUAUUAAUUUAAUAAAUCUAGUUGAUCCGAUAAAAACUCCAUUAAAGUCUAGUCUGGUCAAAAAAUUAAAAAAAAAAAACAAAUUACUUAAAGUAGUAUUUAAAACUUAGACGGGCUUAUGUUAACUAAAAAAAUCUUUACCAACUCAUUAAAACUCACAUGUAAUUGAUUUAAUUUAGUUUUAAUGUUCUUUAUUAAGGUAAUUAAUCUAUUAGAUGUUAUUGAAAGGAUUGACCUUCUCCUUAGCCUGUAAAUCUAGAUUGGAUCCGGCUUUGAGCCAAACUUGAAAAUCAAGUUUUUUAUUAAUGUAAAUUUUUAAAAAUACAGUGCUACUACAAAAACAAAAAUACCGCAAUUCAUCAAGUUUCUAACUCAAGUAGUCACACUAAUUGAAUUUAACAAUAUUUAUUAUUAUUAUUAUUAUUAUUAUUAUUAUUAUUACUAUUAUAUUUGAUAAUAAGGAAUAUUUUGAACCAUCUAUAUGUAAAAAUUAUUUAUUUAUUUAUUUAUGAUUAUUGUGUCUUUAUAAGUUGCGAAAAAUAAGAGAAACUUUCUACGCUGUUGAUCGCUAACGAGCACGUGAUACAAAUAUACUGUAAAGUGCACCGUUUGACUAUUCACGAGACAUCUAAGUUCUCUAGUCCAUUCUUCCUGUUGACUUUCUCAGGCGUUGUUGUGAAACGGGUCAGGUACAUUGCCUGUACAGCUCAACCAUGUACUUUAAAAAAAUGAAAGAAAUAGAAUAGUUUGUAUAAGUCGUGAUUAGAAGAUAGGACAUUCAAGUGCAUUUUCUUGGGAUGUAUCAGAUGACGCUGCAUCAUAAAGACUGCUUUCAUUUAACAGGGAGGGCGUACAGAUGUUCAAUUUGCUCAUGUUCAAGUCUCUUUCACUUGGGAAAAUUCAUAAGAGUAUAACGCGCUCUACCCUGUUAUCAUCUUUCCGGAAUCCAGACAGUGAUGGGCUAACAUGUAUAUCAUUGGAAAUGUCCCCACCUGGUCUUGUUUUCUUGCUGCCAUCCUUCCCUCUGUAGGAGGAGGACAUCGUAUGUGCUUGCAGACAAAACCAUUUAUCAAGAACACUCAACUUUCCCUCUCAACUCGGUCCCAGUUUUAAGCAGCCAAUUUUGAUAUAUCAAAGGCACAACAACCAUGUUAGAACGAAUUGCCUGUCUGCUGUGUUGAGGGUCAUGUGGCUGGUAAGGUUCAGAGCUCGGGGAUUGCAGUAAACCUCAUGGCCCCAGUUCUUCCAUUUAGUGACUCCUUCCAAGUCCCCAGAUGUUACCUGGCAACUGCAGCAGCAACUUGCAAGGAACGUGGGCCAGAUGGCCGCCCAGUUAAUUAACUGGGCACCGCCAUCGUACCUGAUUGGAUCAGUUACGUGUUACAUCCAAAUAUUCAAUCGAAGCCUUGCUGUGGUAAUAUAGUUCCAGAGUUGUCUUCUGGGAAAUUUUAUUUCGAUAUUUCUAAGAAAAUUAAGAAAUUUUACCGGGUGUUUAUUCAACGAACAGAGAGAGCAGGCGACAUUGGAAACAAAAGCUGUCCUCGGGGUAAUAUAAUGGACAAAGAUGCAUCCAAAACUGCUGUGGGGAUUGUGCAAUCACAAUCUAACCAGUUUAUGUUAGCCAAAGAGGACAAUGAUACAGGAUAAACCCUUUUUUUUUUAUUCCACUCAUACAUUACAUAUUGUAGAACCGAGAUUUUUCAGACAUUUUGGCUAGUGAUGGUACGAGCCAGGCCACCUUGGCCUGUUUAUCGAUCAAGUGCAAAUUAGAAGAGCGGAGGAGAAAGAAAAUAUUACAAUAGCAGAGGAGGUAUAAAACUAAAAGCCUAAACCCCAGGUUUAAGAAAUGACUCUAUGAUCUCCUGUGGGGAUUGUGCAAUGAUCUUUGAGACCCCUCAAAGAGAUCCAACAAGUAAUUCUGUAAAUCAUCUGCACUGUACUUGAUGUGCUUGUCACUAAUUUGAUUUGUAUGUCUUCCGACAAAUGUCCGGUAAGCUUGGAUCACCUUGAGGGAUGUUGAGAUUCGCAAAUCUUCUCGUAGAUGACCAUUUGGGAUUGACCACGCUGUCUGCGUCCUGUAAACCUCCUCAAAAGCGGUAUAAAAAUUCCGAAACCUUUCCUUGAGAAGAGUUCUUGAAGAAUUGGAAUUCCCCUCUUCCUUCAGUAUAGCGAGGAUAGAACUCCAGGUAUUUCUUUCAUAGUUUAUCUCAUGCUGCUGGAAUUUCCAGUUGUGCUUUCGAACCCACCCAUCUCCAAGUAUAGACUGAAGAUUCGAAUUCACAACUUUUUGAGCCAUGUAAUGAAUGUUGU